rnacentral:rRNA from 1 species
UCUACGGGGGGCUGCAGUGGGGAAUAUUGGACAAUGGGCGAAAGCCUGAUCCAGCCAUGCCGCGUGUGUGAAGAAGGCCUUCGGGUUGUAAAGCACUUUCAGUGGGGAAGAAAGCCUUGGGGCUAAUACCCUCGAGGAAGGACAUCACCCACAGAAGAAGCACCGGCUAACUCCGUGCCAGCAGCCGCGGUAAUACGGAGGGUGCGAGCGUUAAUCGGAAUUACUGGGCGUAAAGCGCGCGUAGGCGGUCUGAUAAGCCGGUUGUGAAAGCCCCGGGCUCAACCUGGGAACGGCAUCCGGAACUGUCAGUCUAGAGUGCAGGAGAGGAAGGUAGAAUUCCCGGUGUAGCGGUGAAAUGCGUAGAGAUCGGGAGGAAUACCAGUGGCGAAGGCGGCCUUCUGGACUGACACUGACGCUGAGGUGCGAAAGCGUGGGUAGCAAACAGGAUUAGAUACCCGAGUAGUC